GUCAGCAAAACUAUAAAUCCUAGACCCUAAACCUUAAGAUUUACCCAACAUUUUAGAAUUUAUCCAAGGAUUUAGGGUUUAUCCAAGAAUUUAGGAUCUAGUGUUUAGGAUUUAUGGUUUUGUAACAAUGUUAAAAAAAAUCUUUUUUUUGACAGCUAGUUCUAUUUUUUAUUUAUUUUAUUUAAAAAACAUAUUAUGAUUUAACAAAUUUUUAUUAUUAUUUUUU
rnacentral:lncRNA from 1 species